AUUCUACGAGUUUUUUUUAGUUUCAAACAGAAUAAAAAGAUAAUUACAACUUCUUCCACACAAUUCUGAUUUUUUUUCUUGCCGUUGCCAUUCCAUAUAAGUUUUUCUUCUUCGAAUAGCUGAGAAAAAAAGUUUAAUUAAAAAAAGUUGCAAUUAACUUUUUAUUUUUUAUUCUGAUGAAAAUGAGCUUUCGUCAUUUUUUGUGAGCGAGACACAUAGUUUUAAAGCACAGCUGAAAAAGACAAAAUCAGGAAUGGUUCAUCCAACACUUUUAAGUACUUUCCUUCAAUUUUUCUGAGAAUUGACGCUAUGACAAAUAGAUUUCGCAAUGUAGCACCAAACUGUAUUCUGUAAAUUGUAAUUCCACACAAUACACGCUAUUCUGCUAUCCCAUCUUCCCCACUACGUCAUUAGUCUAACUUAACUACUUCCACACAGUGUUUCCGAGAGCUGCAAGAUGAGAACAAACUUCUUCCUACUGGCAGAAUCGCUUCAAAAUGUAUGCAGAGGCAUGCUUUCUUAAAAAGCAUAACCACACAAGUAAUACACGGUUUCAUUAACAAUCUGUAUAAUAGAAAAGGUGCUACUUUAGAAGAGGAAGACCAUUUAAAAAGAAACAUCUAGCUGGUAAUUUCAUUGAACCAUUAACCUCUGCUGGUGAAUUUAGUCAUGAAAUUCCCUCCAUGUCUAUACAAAAGUAGUAUAAAAACAAUUCAUUUGGAACUAAUUAACAAAAAUGGUUUGUAUGGAUGUCUGAUGUCGUUAUUGGAUCAGUUGAAUUUAGCAGGGGACGUAUAUUUUCAGUCAGCCGCUUUGGGGUUGGAGUAAAUAUACACGUAUA